UGUUCCGACGAUCAAACAGUGGCAAAUUUGAGAAGUUUAGGGCCCAAGGUGAAGGCAGGCAUUGGGCCCUCUGACAUGAGAAGACAACACACAAAACAGAUUGAACUUGCCUGAAACCUGAAACUCUGGAGAGUUUCUCUGCUGGUAAUCUGCCUGUCCGUUCUCAGAAGUUCUCUGGAGAACGGUUUCUGUCAAAGAUCUGCCUGCCCGCUCUCAGAAGAUAACCGGAAACUCAAUCAGUGAUCUGCCUGCACUCAGUAAGCUCUGCCUCCGCCUCUGCCCUCUGCCUGCCGUCAGCCUCUGGACCCUCAAGGUUCCCCCCCUCUGCAGCUCUGCUCCACUCAAGAACAGUGAACCCACUUGUGACCAGUCAAACCACUUCCUGGAUCUGAAUAACCUGUGCGCUUUACAGAACUCUCUCGUGACCAGUCAAGCCUCUACUGAACCUGAUCCAUUGUUGCACAUUUAUUGUUCAAUAAAAUUUUUGA